GUGCAACCUGCUCCGGUGCCCUUCCACGCUGUGGAGGGUUUGUUCUUUUUGUUCUUUGCAUUAAAUGCUGCUGCUGCUGCUCACUCUUUGGGUCCACACUGCCUUUAUGAGCUGUAACACCACGAAGGUCUGCAGCUUCACUCCUGAAGCCAGUGAGAUCACAAACCCACUGGGAGGAACAAGCAACUCCAGACGCGCCCCUUUAAGAGCUGUAACAUUCACCAGGAAGGUCUGCAGCUUAGGGCGAGGCCACAAACCCCCCAGAAAGAAGAAACUCCGAACACAUCCGAACAUCAGAAGGAACAAACUCCGGACACGCCGCCUUUAAGAACUGAAACAUUCACUGCGAGGGUGCGCGGCUUCAUUCUUGAAGUCGGUGAGACCUAGAACCCACCAAUUCCGGACACAGAACGAAUCAACCAAGGGUGGAAAGCCCCUCUUUGAGCCGAAGGACUAGAGGAACAAAAGACUCAGCCCCAAGGUUAUCCGUGCUCACCUGGCAACACUGGCUGUGGCUGAGGAGUGGUGUUCCUCUACACAGAGCCUGGGCUUUCCUCCAGACUUGCUGCCCUCAUGCAAGCCCCCUGCCUGAUGUCACCUGCCUGAUGCUGGUGCUUUUCGACUGCUGUAUCUAUGAAGGGAGAAGCAUUUGCUGCUGAAAGAGUUAUUGUAUUUGCUACUGGCAACACUUGAGAGUAAAGUUUAGCAGAGUAAGAGAGACAUAAAUCUAGAGGUUUGGGGUAGGUUUUUUUUAAAGGAUGUAUCAUUUGUUUAUUUUAAAAAGUCUAAGAAGAAAAGAGGAGAGCAGCGGACACAUUUGAGAGCAUUUGAGGGUUAGAAAAGAUUUACAUCUUAGGAAUGAGGAUCCUUGAGCUUGUUUCCAAGUUCAUGGUGUUUUGAGUGUGGCAAGACUUUUUAAUAUUAUGAAUGAUGCCCAUGGAAUCUUCUGUAACACUCAAUCGACGGGAAUCCCGAAGUACUAUAUAUCCCAGAUCUUUGUUUUCCCAAACACACUGGAGUAUGAAGGACAUGUUGUGAAUGACAGAAUUCUGUCAUUAUAUUUAAUUUACUAUCAAAUUUACCUACUAAAGUAGAGGACUGAUUAAGAUAAAUACAGACAAUGAUCUCAUCCUGGAAGGAAUUACUAUGGAAAAAGAAUUUGACAAGAAGAUCCCCUUUUUAUCUGAACAAUAAAACAUAUCAAUUUCUCAAAGCUCUUAUGUUUGGCCAGUUCAUCUGGUGAGAGAAUGGAAAAAGGGAGACAUUCAUCAAUUUUACAACCUGCAGUCCAUCAUCAGACCAAAUCAGGAAGAAGAGUGCAUGGAGAAAACAUUUGAGAAGAAAAGGUAUUUUCAAAACAUCUGGAGCAAGAGACAAAUCCCAUCAGCUCAGUUCCAGCAAUAUAUGCAGAUGGGCAACUGAUGGUCAGACUCCAGUGGUUCUUCAGAACUUUCUAGGAGGUAAACAAGAUGAAAGGGAAAGCACACAAAUUUGCUGGAAUUUGGAAAACACGAACCCUGGAAUUUGGAGGAGUCACUUCCACUGGAAAAUACUUUUAUAUUAUUUAUAGUGGCUACCAUUACUGUGCUCACUUUACAGGUGAGGUUCAGAGAUUUAUGUAACAUGCCAAAGGUCACACAGCUGGACACAGCAGAACCAAGAUUCAAAUCUGCACAG